AAAGAAUUAGUUAAAAAAUAACAUAAAUAUGUCAAAUUUAAAUUAUUAAAAACUAUAAUAUUCUUUU
rnacentral:tRNA from 1 species